UACGAAGGGGGCUAGCGUUGCUCGGAAUCACUGGGCGUAAAGCGCACGUAGGCGGAUUGUUAAGUCAGGGGUGAAAUCCUGGAGCUCAACUCCAGAACUGCCUUUGAUACUGAGGAUCUUGAGUACGGGAGAGGUGAGUGGAACUGCGAGUGUAGAGGUGAAAUUCGUAGAUAUUCGCAAGAACACCAGUGGCGAAGGCGGCUCACUGGCCCGUUACUGACGCUGAGGCACGAAAGCGUGGGGAGCAAACAGG
rnacentral:rRNA from 1 species